rnacentral:misc_RNA from 1 species
AAAGUCGUAACAAGGUCUCCGUAGGUGAACCUGCGGAGGGAUCAUUAACACGUUUCCAUAACGUUUUAUUAUACCAACCAACCGCGUGAAUUCAAUAGAAUUAUACCCGACUUGAGAGGGAGAGAACCUGUCUAACUACACGGAGUGAUGAGUGUGUUCUUCAUGUGAAAGCAUGAAGAGCAUGCGGUGUAAUCAGGCUUGUAAUGCUCGACAUUACGGGAUUUCUCUCUUUCAAGCUAUCAAUCAACAAUGUUCCCUUCAUCGCUGGAACGAACAAACCCCUUUCACCCCUUUAUAACUAACUAGACUGAUAUUUUCUCAUGAAUGGUAUAAUUCGUUAUACUGUUUAUCUGAAUCAUUUAAUCAAAUAUCUAAGCACAACUCUUAGCAACGGAUAUCUUGGUUCUC